AAAAUCUAAGAAAAUAUAAUUAUAUUAUUUACAUAAUUUCAUUUUGAAUUGACGAAGAUUGCCUUUUUGUCCUCUUGCUAAUAUAUUUUAUAUAAUAAUCUCAACUAUCGUGUUUCCUAUAAUUUUAAAUAAUAUUUCUACUCGUAUGAAAUGAGAAGAAAAAAGUAAGGAGAACUUUAAGAUUAGCGCACGCGACUCAUUCAGAGCUACAUGCCGCAAAAGCGCGUUUAAUUCAAAGUCAUGCUCCGCAUGAAACGCGUGCGGAUGAGAUGCAUUAUUUUUCGUUCUGCAACCGCACCAAACCGCACACAACGCAUACACGCCCGCUCAAUCAGAGUUGCCAGCUUCGCGCGCAGGCUGGCUUCACUUCAUUCCAAUCCACAAGCGCACAGUGUGAAAUGGCAACAGCGCACCAGCGCAGACGACUAAGGCACUCGCAGCAGCAGAGUGCGUAUGCAUUCGCUCGCAUUCUGCAUCCAUUGGACAACAGACUUCGUAAUUGAAUAGUGUUUUGUGUGGUGCCGGUUCGCGUUCAUCGAAUUUAAAAUGGAGUUGACUCGAUGCAAAUUUAUGGAGUGUCUCUGGAGUACAUUUCUACCCAUCGGACAUUUCUCCUAGGAGUUUGAUACGAAAAAACAGCGAGUGAGUCUUCCUCGGGAAAGUCUUACAAGAAGAGAAAUAUCAGGAAUGUGGCUGCUUUAGUGGAUUUUGAUGAGUGUUUGGCCUCUGGAAUGUUGAAAUGGACUAUGCAGCCUCUUAAUUAUGGUGUGCCAAAUAGCUCCAGAACAUUCUGAGUGACUCGGACGAGGAAGUUCUCUCUAAAAUUGGGAAGUAUCGAGUCAUCUGCUGCCUGGUCAAUCCUCCACCUCAUUUGCAUCACCUUCCCUCUUUGGAUGACGACUAUUUCCGUCCCAAUGAAGGCCACGACCCUGAUAACGACCGCCAUUCCAUUGACCACCAUCAAAUUCAACAUUCUUGUAAAAGCCAAUAUGUAAGUUUUUACUCAAAUAAAAUUAAAAUAAAAACUAUAAAAAAUUUUAAUUUACAGUAAACCAUAUUUUUCCCAAAAUUUUACAAAUUUGCCCAGAAAUAUCGCCUGUCCAAAAUUGGACAGUUUAUGGACAGUCAUACCGAGAAGGAUAUCCUGGUGUACAGGUCUCGGUAUAUCCAAAAGAUAUCCGCCGGAUAUCCAUUACGGAUAUCCGAAUUGUAUCCGUUAGCGGAUAUCUUUU